AGAGGAAAUCGGGGAAGACAAUAACUACGUAAAUGCAGCAGCGAACUCUGUGGAGGAAAAGGAAACCGUUCCAGAUGGCAAGUGUCGGUCUUUUGCACCGCUGGCAGUGUGUUGGCUGAUACUGUUGGUAAUCAUCGGCCUUCGUAUCUACUUUACUGCAGUCAUUUCUGAAAACAACGCCAGGCUGAUGUCUGCCAAUCUACGGACCAGGGCUGGGCUUUGCUAAGCCUGAACUCAUGAAAAUGGAGAAAGCAUUGAACAUCAGCGUGAUCCCUGCCAGGAUGGCUGGGAAACGUUUGAGUCCAACUACUAUGCAAUUAAUAACCCUUAAACAUAUGACAGUCUGAGAGCUCAAAAAGGAGAGAAGAGUAUUCAGAUUUGGUUGUUGUUCUUGUUACUGAAGCAGAAAACAUAAUAACGAGAGUGUGAAUUUUAUUUCUAUAUACAAUGACAAUAUAUUCUUGUGAAAUAUCCAAAGUGGACUUCAGUUCAUCUGCCUACGUGUUGUCCAGUCACCUCUGUCGUUUAUUUGUGUCUGAAUAUCUUUUCAUUCUUGCUGGUCAUAUAAAUGAAUAUUAAA